CAGUAGCCGCGGUAAUACAGAGGAUGUAAGCGUUAUCCGGAAUGAUUGGGCGUAAAGCGUCUGUAGGUGGCUUUUCACGUCCGCCGUCAAAUCCCAGGGCUCAACCCUGGACAGGCGGUGGACACUACCAAGCUGGAGUACGGUAGGGGCAGAGGGAAUUUUCGGUGGAGCGGUGAAAUGCGUUGAGAUCAGAAAGAACACCAACAGCGAAAGCACUCUACUGGGCUGACGCUGACACUGAGAGACGAACGCUAGGGGAGAAAAUGGGAUUAGAGACCCCAGUAGUCCCUGUCUCUUAUAA
rnacentral:rRNA from 1 species